rnacentral:rRNA from 1 species
GGAGUUAGCCGGUGCUUCUUCUGCGAGUAACGUCACAGAUGUAAGGUAUUAACUUACACCCUUUCCUCCUCGCUGAAAGUGCUUUACAACCCGAAGGCCUUCUUCACACACGCGGCAUGGCUGCAUCAGGGUUUCCCCCAUUGUGCAAUAUUCCCCACUGCUGCCUCCCGUAGGAGUCUGGGCCGUGUCUCAGUCCCAGUGUGGCUGAUCAUCCUCUCAGACCAGCUAGGGAUCGUCGCCUAGGUGAGCCUUUACCUCACCUACUAGCUAAUCCCACCUGGGCUUAUCCAUCAGCGCAAGGCCCGAAGGUCCCCUGCUUUCCCCCGUAGGGCGUAUGCGGUAUUAGCAGUCGUUUCCAACUGUUAUCCCCCACAAAUGGGCAAAUUCCCAGGCAUUACUCACCCGUCCGCCGCUCGUCAUCUUACAAAGACAAGCUUUAGUAAAUAGUUACCGUCUCGUACUUGCAUGUGUUAGGUCCUCGCCGCCACGCGUUCAAUACUGAGCCAUGAUACAAACUACUGA